rnacentral:rRNA from 1 species
CAUGGGUCCGAGGUGCGAUGAUGGGGGCCUUAUGGCCCGAUAUCCGGUGAUCCCGGCUGCCGAGAAAAGCUUCGGCGUCAGGCUCGAAGCCGCCCGUACCCCAAACCGACACUGGUGGUCAGGUAGAGAAUACCAAGGCGAUCGAGCGAAUCCUGGUCAAGGAACUCGGCAAAUCACUCCCGUGCCUUCGGUAUAAGGGAGACCCGCUGGGGUGAACCGGCUAGCCCGGGGAGCUUUGGUGGGUGGCACAGACCAGGGGGUAGCGACUGUUUACCAAAAACACAGGUGCAUGCGAAGGCGAAAGCCGCUGUAUAUGCACUGACGCCUGCCCGGUGCCGGAAGGUUAAGAGGAUCCGUCAAUCCCUUCGGGGACGAAGCGGUGAAUUCAAGCCCCGGUAAACGGCGGUGGUAACUAUAACCAUCCUAAGGUAGCGAAAUUCCUUGUCGGGUAAGUUCCGACCUGCACGAAUGGCGUAACGACUUCCCCACUGUCUCGACCAGGAGCUCGGCGAAAUUGCAGUACGAGUAAAGAUGCUCGUUAAGCGCAGAAGGACGAAAAGACCCCGGGACCUUUACUAUACCUUGGUAUUGGCGUUAGGCGCGGAUUGUGUAGCAUAGGCGGGAGGCUUCGAAGCGGGUGCGCCAGCAUUCGUGGAGCCGCAAGGUGAAAUACCGCUCUGUUCUCGUUUGACGUCUAACCUCGACAAGUCAUCCUUGUCAGGGACAGUGCCUGGCGGGUAGUUCAACUGGGGCGGUUGCCUCCCAAAGAGUAACGGAGGCGCUCAAAGGUCCGCUCAGCCCGGUUGGCAAUCGGGUGUCGAGUGUAAUCGCACAAGCGGGCUUGACUGCGAGGACGACGGUCCGAGCAGGGACGAAAGUCGGAGAUAGUGAUCCGGUGCCGGCGCACGGGCGCGGCAUCGCUCAACGGAUAAAAGGUACUCUGGGGAUAACAGGCUGAUACCGCCCAAGAGUUCAUAUCGACGGCGGUGUUUGGCACCUCGAUGUCGGCU